CAGCGCGGUAAUUCCAGCUCCAAUAGUGUAUAUUAGUGUUGUUGCGGUUAAAAAGCUCGUAGUUGAAUUUCGGGAUUGGGAUAUAUCGGUCAUGCCUUUAGGGGCAUGAAUCGGUGUGUAGCCAAUUUCUCACCUUCUGGUGAAUUGGGAUGCUCUUGGGUGUUUCAAUGAACUAGGACUUUUACUUUGAAAAAAUUAUAGUGUUUAAAGCGGGCAUUUUUGCUUGAAUACAUUAGCAUGGAAUAAUAAAAUAGGACGAUGGUUCUAUUUUGUUGGUUUUAGGACCACGUAAUGAUUAAUAGGGAUAGUUGGGGGCAUUAGUAUUCAAUAGUCAGAGGUGAAAUUCUUGGAUUUAUUGAGGACUAACUACUGCGAAAGCAUUUGCCAAGGAUGUUUUCAUUAAUCAAGAACGAAAGUUAGGGGAUCGAAGACGAUUUAUGUACGUCGUAGUCUUAACCAUAAACUAUGCCGACUAGGAAUCAGACAAAGUUCAUUUUUUAACGACUUGUUUGGUACCUUACG
rnacentral:rRNA from 1 species